AUUGAACGCUGGCGGCAGGCCUAACACAUGCAAGUCGAACGGUAGCACAGAGAGCUUGCUCUCGGGUGACGAGCGGCGGACGGGUGAGUAACGUCUGGGAAACUGCCCGAUGGAGGGGGAUAACUACUGGAAACGGUAGCUAAUACCGCAUAACGUCGCAAGACCAAAGUGGGGGACCUUCGGGCCUCCAACCAUCGGCUGAGCCCAGAUGGGAUUAGCUAGUAGGUGGGGUAAUGGCUCACCUAGGCGACGACCCCUAGCUGGUGUGAGAGGAUGACCAGCCACACUGGAGCUGAGACACGGUCCAGACUCCUACGGGAGGCAGCAGUGGGGAAUAUUGCACAAUGGGCGCAAGCCUGAUGCAGCCAUGCCGCGUGUAUGAAGAAGGCCUUCGGGUUGUAAAGUACUUUCAGCGGGGAGGAAGGCGGUGAAGUUAAUAGCUUCACCGAUUGACGUUACCCGCAGAAGAAGCACCGGCUAACUCCGUGCCAGCAGCCGCCGUAA
rnacentral:rRNA from 1 species